UACGGGGGGGGGCAAGCGUUGUUCGGAAUUACUGGGCGUAAAGGGCUCGUAGGCGGCCAACUAAGUCAGACGUGAAAUCCCCAGGCUCAACCUGGGAACUGCGUCUGAUACUGGAUGGCUUGAGUUUGGGAGAGGGAUGCGGAAUUCCAGGUGUAGCGGUGAAAUGCGUAGAUAUCUGGAGGAACACCGGUGGCGAAGGCGGCAUCCUGGACCAACACUGACGCUGAGUGAGCGAAAGCCAGGGGAGCAAACGGG
rnacentral:rRNA from 1 species